CCUAGGGCCAGACUGCCAGGGUUCAGAUCCCAGCUCUGGAUUUCCUGUGUGUCCUUGGGCAAGUUAUUUAGCCUUGCUGUGCCUCAGUUUUCUCAUCUGUAAAAUGGGAAUAAUCAUAGUGUUGAUAAGAAUUUAAUGAGCAAAACAAGUACAGUGUACAGCACAGUGCCCAGGACAGGGUAAAACAUUAGGUGUUAUUUCUCUCCACCUUGUUGACCAACCUGGGACCUUCAUACCUCUCCACAAACCUGAGGCUGAAGAGGCCAAGUCUGCCUCCCCCUCUCCCUGUAGGCAAGGAAGUCUAGGGGGAGAAGGGAUGGUCUCCCCACAGCUGCCUAAGGCCCAUCCCACAGUUCCAGGCUGGGGGCAGAAUGUCUGCAGCCUCCACAAUGAGAUGGAGCCUGGAUUCAAGUUCUGCCUCAGCCCCUAAAUAGCUGUGUGCUCUUGAACAAAUAACAGCUUCUCUGAGCCUCAGCUACCUCACCUGCAAAAUGGGGUUAAUAAUAGUACCCACUGCAUAAGGGUUAUGAGGAUGAUGUCUCUGAAAUGCCCGGCACAAAGAAGCCACUCAGUAAAUGGUUGCUGUCACUGCUGCCUGGCACACAGAGCAGGUGCUCCACAAAUGUCAGUUUCCUUUAUCAUGUGUACCUUCCUCUUCCUAAGAGUCACAAUGUUCCAGGUCAAGCCAUGGGGCCUUAGGGUUUCUGGAUCGCAGAAUGCGGACACCUCCGCUCUAGGAAGAGCCCCUCCUCCUUGCUCCUGAGCCCCUACCCCACCAGGAGGCACUGCAGAGAUGCUGUUUCUCUUCACGCAGUGUGUGUAAUCAAGACUCAAGCGACAGAUGGACAGAUAUGCAAGGAAAGGAAAGCCCUCAAGACGCAAGGGUAUGGCUGCUCCUGGACUCCUCAGCCAAGCUUGAGUAGAAUGAGGGGGCAGACUGGAGGCAGAGCACAGUCAGCCCCACCGCUGUCAAUCAUCCUGGGCUUUCCUGGCACCCUCACUCCCUCACCUCUACCCCUGAGGACCUUUCCUUGCUGGAUGAAGGGGUGCGGAACUGCUUUGGCCUUCCAGCUCUGGCAGAGCAGAAGCCCCCAACUCCAGGAAGUCAAAGGGUCCUCGGCCACACUGGACUGCAGGGAACCCCUGGGAGGUAUGACCCUCACCAAGAAGGAAGCCGAGUGGCAGACGCCAGUGAGAUGAAAGACUCAAGGGUCAGCGGAUCAAGAUGAGAGUUGUGAAGUGACCACUGCCUCUGGCACAUGUCGAGAAGACAAAGGCUGGACCCUCUGAGGUCCCCUCAGACCCACGGGUCUAUCCAAGGAGGCUCUGAGCUUUGUUCGAGAGUUCGGGCAGGGCUGUCCUGUGCUCUCUAACAGGGGUGCGGGCGAGGGGGCAGUGCAGGCAGUGGGCCCAGAAAGCAGUGUCCCUGGAAGAACCCCAAGGGAAAGGGGGCAGGUGUAACCUCCUUAAUUUCCCUGCCCUUCCUGCUUUCUUGGCCAGGACCAAGUGUCCUUCUCUCUGAGAGGCCUACACAGGAAGUGGGGGCCCUAUCCCACCCAUGCCUGUAAGGGAGUGUGCUGAUACCUGGCCUCUACCCACACAAGAGUUCCCCGCCCCUCAGCCUGGCACUCAGGGCCUCUCUGCUCCAUCUUACCUCCCUCUCCCUUUCACACAGCCACGCUGUGGCCAGGCUGAGCUUCCCAAGGCCGCCGGUCCAUCUCUCACACUCUGCAGCUUCUGCACCUUUGCUCCUGCUGUGCCCCCAGCCUGGAAUGCCGGAAUCCCACCUCCUGUCCCCUCACAGGUGUGUGUCUGAGCCUUGCCAGCCCUGCAGGUCCCAGAGGAAACCUCUCCUCCUCCCUGGGCUUCCCCGACAGACUUUUCCACUUAGAAGACAUGGUCUCCCCUCCUUACAACUCCCAGGGCUCCCGACCAGAGCCCUCCUCGGCUCUGCCUGCAUGGACCUGCACCUCCCACUAGGCUCAGCUUCUGGGGGCAGGGGCUUCAGCUCCCACAAGUGCUAACCUGUGUCUCUACCCACAGCAAAUGCUCAACAAACACUGGUCACCGUGCACGUUCAAAAGAGAGGCUGAGUGCUUGGGCCUGGAGUCAGCCAGUCCUGGGCACCAACCUGCCUCCGUUAUUCACUAACUUGUUAGCUGCCAACUUUAGGCAAGUUUUCCCCCUCUGAGCCUUACUCAGAGCUCAUGGUGGUACUGUAAGGAUUAAACGAGAAAAUGGAUGUAAAGAACUCAGGACAAUGCCCGUCAGGUGAUUUGUGUUCUAUAAUUCAUAAUUAUUAUUAAUAUUUGUUGAAUAGAAAUUAUUAGCGAGGAUCAACAUUUCCCAGAGGCUUAUUAAGAGCCUUCUUCCCUGCCCUCCUUCCGAUCUGAUCCCCGUCUCCCAAGUCUGAGGCUUGGCAGGAUUUCUUAGCAUCCUGCACUAUCAGUUUUCCUAAGGUCCUCAGAGAGCCCAGGGUCGCCAGAUCCAGGGGUGUCCUUCAGUUCUCAUCUUACUUGACUGUCCAGCAGAAUUCAGGAGAACGGAUGACUCUCUCCUUCCUGCCCUUGUCCCGGGGCUCCCCCAACCACAUGAUAUCCCAGUCUCCACUUACCCCUCUGGCCACUCCUUCUGUCUCCGUUACUGGCUUGUGCUCUUCUAUCCAGCCAUUAAGUUUUGGGGUUCCUCAGGCUCCCUCCUAGACCCCUUCUCUUCUUGCUAAGCUCCCCCUGGUGAUCUCAUCCACAUUCACAGCUAUCAGUGUCUCAUAAGCGGAAACACAGGGCUCAUCCUUGAUUCCUCUCUCCUCAUCUAACCUACCGCUGAGGCUGUCAGUACAGCCGGGAUGGUAAGAGCUGGACUCUAGAGCCAGUUGGCUGGUCAAACCCUGGCUGCUAGGGCAGGUUACUUAAUCUUUCCAGUCCUUGGUUUUCUCAUCGGUGAACUGGGGAUAUUAAUACUACCUAUCUCAUAAGCUUGUUAUGGGAUUAACAAGGUUAAUAUUUAUAAAAUGCUUAGAAUGGUACCUGGCAUACAGUAAGAGCUAUGUAUGUAUUUGUUAAAUAAACGCAUUUAAAAAAAUUUAAUGUCACCUCCAAAACACAGCUCAAACACACUUGUCUUUAAUAACCUCCUUCCCAAGACCUGUGCCACCUCUCUAGCCUAGCUACUGUGCCCUAUGCUAAAACGACCAACUAGCCCCCUGCAUCCUCUCCUGCCCCCUCCAAGUUGUUGUCUACACAGUAGCCAGAAUGAGUUUUCCAAGCAAAUCUAUUUAAGAAACCCCUUUUCUCCGACCCUCAUUACUUCCUGAUGCUUUGAGAGUCAAGAUCUAAAGCGUUAAUGUGCCCAGGCUCUCCAGGGACUGGCCCCAUCCACUGCCCACCCAUCUCAAACCCCACUCCCUGGCUUCCUGCAUGGCAGGCUUCCUGGCCUUUCAGGUCCUCAUACAACCUGAGCUCUCUCCUGCCUGUGCACAUUCUGAGUCUUCCGUGUAGAGGACUCCUCCUACUCUCCCCGAAUGCACCUAGUUAACAUUCAGUCAUCAUUCUGAUCUUAUUUCAAAUGCCCUUUCCUCAGGGAAGGCUUCCCUGAUUGCCCUGCAUUGGUCUGGUCCCCCAUCAUACCCCUAUACACCUCUCCUCCACUGCACCUUUACAUUUAAUUGUGUGCUUGUGCGGUCAGUACUAGAGGGCAGGGACCUGUCUGUUUUUAUACACUUUGGAUCACCAGAGCCCAGCAAAGUGCCUGACACACAGUAGGUGCUCAACAUAUAAACUGAUGGCUGCUUUGAUGGCAGGAAGGUGAGUGAGUGAGCCUGCUUCCCUAAGGCUUACAGUGGUAGCUCUGAUCUAGAGACAUCCAUUGCAACCUCUUACUCUCACACCCUCCCCAAGGUUGUCACAGUUCCUAUCUGUACCCCAGUCCAUGCUUCUCACACAAUUCCAGGCCCUGGAUGCUGGCUCCUCUGACAGUCACACUGUGAAGCUGAGAGCCCUCUCUGGAGACUCAGAUGGAACAUAUUUCGGCAUCUCCAGGCAAGACGAGGCUGAGCUCUCGAUACAGUGCUGUGGCUGCCACUGCCUCCAGGCCUGGGCUGGGGUUGAGAUUGCUUCAGGUCCUCCAGAGGAGUCCUCGGAGAGACCCACGGUCCCAGCAUGCUCCCUACCACCCAUCUCCCUUCUGUGUUCGUAAAUUGCCCUGCUCGAUCUUUUAGUGGCUUCCUCCUUCAGGAACAAGAAUGAUGUUUCUUUCCUCUCUCCCUCCCUCUCAAACAGCCUGGCCUAGGACUCUGCUAGAAAGAUAAGGACUGAUUCAGCACCUUCCUUGUUUUCUUCCCAGGCCUGACCACUCCACAGCUGCAAAUUUAGCCCUGGAAAACAGAGGGGAAGCUCGGUGGGUAGAAACGUUGUUGGAUGAGAAUGGAGAUCUAAGAGUUCCUCCUUCCUAGAUGAGGGUGUAGAGCAGGAACCCUGCCA